CGUGACAAAGCUCUCAGAGCUUUGAGACUCAAACUCAGAACAUGGGAUCUUAAUGUACUCUGAAACCAUCCUCUGGUCUUCAUUGUCAAUGUUUGGAUCUGGGAACUCUAACCUAUCUAAUUCACAUGACUCAGCUAUCUCCGAGUCCUGCACAAUAGGAUUUGAGGCCAGGGAGAUUACUUCUGGCAGAUCUCCAGCAUACGAGAGGGACAACUGGACAAACCCUGCUGGGGAAUGAAACAGAUCAGUUGAAGAAAGAGAGAACUCUUUCUCUAACUUCCCGUUCUUAAUGAGGACAUCUGACAAAGGCACCAAAGAAAACCCCAGCAACUGAUCUUGAAGAUAAUUCUUGACCCUGCUCAGCAUCCAAAUCUCGCAUUUGAGGGAGGAAUCAACAGUCCGAACAUUGAGCUGGACAUUAUCAUUGAAGACUGGAUUUCUACCACCACCGUUAAUGGUCUUGGUGGAGACUGUUUUUUCAGGAUCGCACGUCAGGCAUAGCUUAGCAUAGACAUCUUGCUUGUGGUAUAUGCAGAUGUUCUGGAUGUCCCUAGCCUGAUG
rnacentral:lncRNA from 1 species